AGUGUGAUUGCUGGAUUGUAUGGUAAAAUAUGUUUGGUUUUGUAGCAAACUGCCAAACUGUCUCUCCAAAAAACUGUCCCAUUUUGGAUUCCCAAAAGCAAU
rnacentral:pre_miRNA from 1 species